GACAGAGGGUGCAAACGUUGUUCGGAAUUACUGGGCGUAAAGCGUGUGUAGGCGGCUUCGUAAGUCGGAUGUGAAAGCCCCGGGCUCAACCCGGGAAGUGCACUCGAUACUGCGAAGCUUGAGUACUGGAGAGGUUGGUGGAAUUCUCGGUGUAGAGGUGAAAUUCGUAGAUAUCGAGAGGAACACCGGUGGCGAAGGCGGGUCUCUGGGCCGAUACUGACGCUGAGGAGCGAAAGCGUGGGGAGCGAACAGG
rnacentral:rRNA from 1 species